rnacentral:rRNA from 1 species
UACAGAGGGUGCGAGCGUUAAUCGGAAUUAUUGGGCGUAAAGGGCUCGUAGGCGGUCUGUUGCGUCGGGAGUGAAAACUCGGGGCUUAACCCCGGGCCUGCAGUGGGUACGGGCAGACUAGAGUGCGGUAGGGGAGACUGGAAUUCCUGGGUGUAGCGGUGAAAUGCGCAGAUAUCAGGAGGAACACCGGUGGCGAAGGCGGGUCUCUGGGCAACAACUGACGUGGAGGAGCGAAA